CGGACAGAAGCCCGCUGGAUUGGGUGUUUAGCUGUUAAUUAAUAUGUUGCGGGAUCAAGGCCCGCCUGUCUAG
rnacentral:tRNA from 1 species